UGGCUUUAACUCUGAUCGGUCGCCCACCAUAAUUGUGAAAUAUCAGCUUCCCCAGUCUCUUAUCGAAAUAAGAUCCCUUUAAUGAAGCUCCACUUCAUAUAAACUUCAAGAUCACGUCGAUUGCGACAUUAUGUCUGCUUCUUCUUGAAUCAAUUUGAAAAGUUGUGAGAUGCUAGAAAGAAAAGCUACUAAUGAGCAUAGUUUGAAUUUUUGCCGUUGAUUUGGAGUCAUGUAGAGCAUCUUGGAGUUUGGAGACUAAGGUGAGCUCCUGGCGUUUGGAGUUACUAGGUUCCUUAUGUUUUGGUUAAACUUAGUCUUUAUACUUUUUCAGAGAUUGCCCAGACUAAUUUUGUAUUUGUAAGAAGUUUGUAAUCUUAUUUUGAUUAGAUGCUCGAUUAAUGAUUGAUGUCAAGUCUUGGGGAUGGUUUCUGGUAUUGCAUUAAGUUGAUUACCCUUUCGUCGCUUUGUUU